rnacentral:rRNA from 1 species
GGCCAGACUCCUACGGGAGGCAGCAGUGGGGAAUAUUGCACAAUGGGGGAAACCCUGAUGCAGCGACGCCGCGUGAGUGAAGAAGUAUUUCGGUAUGUAAAGCUCUAUCAGCAGGGAAGAUAAUGACGGUACCUGACCAAGAAGCCCCGGCUAACUACGUGCCAGCAGCCGCGGUAAUACGUAGGGGGCAAGCGUUAUCCGGAUUUACUGGGUGUAAAGGGAGCGCAGACGGCAGUGCAAGUCUGGAGUGAAAGCCCGGGGCCCAACCCCGGAACUGCUCUGGAAACUGUGCGGCUAGAGUACUGGAGGGGCAGGCGGAAUUCCUAGUGUAGCGGUGAAAUGCGUAGAUAUUAGGAGGAACACCAGUGGCGAAGGCGGCUUGCUGGGCUUUUACUGACGCUGAGGCUCGAAAGCGUGGGGAGCAAACAGGAUUAGAUACCCGAGUAAA